rnacentral:rRNA from 1 species
AGUGAACGCUGGCGGUAGGCCUAACACAUGCAAGUCGAACGGCAGCACAGUAAGAGCUUGCUCUUACGGGUGGCGAGUGGCGGACGGGUGAGGAAUACAUCGGAAUCUACUUUUUCGGGUGGGAUAACGUAGGGAAACUUACGCUAAUACCGCAUACGACCUACGGGUGAAAGCAGGGGAUCUUCGGACCUUGCGCGAUUGAAUGAGCCGAUGUCGGAUUAGCUAGUUGGCGGGGUAAAGGCCCACCAAGUCGACGAUCCGUAGCUGGUCUGAGAGGCUGAUCACCCACACUGGAACGGAGACACGGUCCAGACUACUACGAGAGGCAGCAGUGGGCAAUAUUGGACAAUGGGCGCAAGCAUGAUCCAGCCAUACCGCGUGGGUGAAGAAGGCCUUCGGGUUGUAAAGCCCUUUUGUUGGGAAAGAAACGCAGCAGGUUAAUACCACGCUGUUCUGACGGUACCCAAAGAAUAAGCACCGGCUAACUUCGUG